AUAUUACAGGUAUAUUUUAUUAAAUACACAUAUUAAAGUACAAGUUCUAAAUGUCACCUUUUCCUAUAACAUUUUCCCCAUUCCUAAUGAUGUAUUUCAUCACAAAAAAUUAUACCCAAUGGAUCUCAAAUAGUUUCAGACAUUUUUAACUUUAUAAUCUAAUAUUAACAGUAAACAACAAAGGAUAAAUUUCACUUAAAUUUUAACAGGUUGAAAGAGAGGUAGCUUCAAGUCUGAGGCAAAGCAUCUUACCAAGUCGGUCACUCUGCACAAGGAAUCCGAGAGCUCAUCAAGGAUCAGCACGGUCUGGGGCCCAGGUGGGGUGGAACACGCACGGUCCACAAGCAAUUCUGUCUUUCUCAAGGCUUUUUCUUGUGCAGUAUGAAAUCCUUCAUAUUUCAUAUGAAGUAUGUGCCUUCUGGGGCACUGAGCUCAGGAACUCCAAAAAGACCCUUAGAACCAAGGAAUACGUCCAAUUUACAACCAAAAUUCAAAAUUGUGCUUUUUAAAUAUUUACUAAAAUUACUUUUGUCACAAAGCAAAUCUUGACUUUCAUUGGUAUAUCAUGUUAUACCUGUGAUCACGAACACCACUAUCAUACUCCUCAUAUCACCCCACAUAAAUUACACCAAAAAUGAUUUCAUAACAUCAUUUUUAAUUUUUUUUUUGAGACGGAGUCUCACGCUGUCACCCAGGCUGGAGUGCAGUGGCGUGAUCUCAGCUCACUGCAACCUCCGCCUCCCGAGUUCAAGCGAUUCUCCUGCCUCAGCCUCCUGAGUAGCUGGGAUUAUAGGAGCGCACUACCACGCCUGGCUAAUUUUUGUAUUUUUAGUAGAGAUGGGGUUUCACCAUGUUGAAAAACAAAAACUGAAUGGUAUGGGUUCAAAAUCCAGCUCUGUCACUUCUACAGAACCUAAGAGUGGCCACAAGGAUUAAAUGAAAUAAUAUAUAUAUAUAUAAAGCAGUGUUUGGCACAGAGCAUUUACAGAUGUUAGCCAUAAUUAUUAUUAGCUUAUAACCCUGGUCAUGUUAUUUCUCCUCCUAGGCCUCAUAUUUUUUUCAUCAUGUACAAUGGGAAUGACGAUACAUACCUUACAGCAUGGAUACAGGUACUAAGUAUAUGUAAAGUACUAACAGCAGCAUCUGACAAAGUGAGAUCUCAGUACAUAGUACCAAUUAUUCUACAACUAUCAGAGAGGAUGAGUUCACUAUGAAGCAAUAAAUAUUUUAGAAAAAUUUAAUGAACAUAUUAAAAUCAUAGGCUGAAACUGGGAGCAAAUUUUAUACGUUCCAAAGACAUUUCAAUAUCUUGAUAAAAACAAAAAUCACUGAUCUAAUGGGAAUGACCAUUCUUUUGUUACCUAUUCAAUCCCACUUGUUAGCACACUCAGGAAGGCAGGGAAAGAAAGCAUUUAAUAUGCACCUACCGCAUACCAUGAAGUGUACCUGCUACUUUACAUAGGUUCUCAUUUAAAUCACACAAUCCUACAGAACAGAGUAUCAUUCUUUCACAGAUCAGGACACAUGCUUUAAGAGGUUAGAAAAAACUUGUUUGAGGUCACAAAUUAAUAUUGGGAAAGACAGAACUCGAACCCGCUCUGUACAUCUGUAAAGCCCACACUUUUCCAUACUUCUCUAUUACAAUUUAUCUGUUUGAAAGUCUUCUCUCCUGAAAAGGUGAGCUUCCAGACCCAAGAGCCCUGCCCUUCAUUUCUUUAACCAGCUAUCCAAUAGAAUGUCUAACACAUGGGGGAACUCAAUGAAAGAAACAAGUGACCGGAGCAGAUGCUAGGCUUUGUUAAUUCACUUUGUAGGUGCUUAACACAUAGAUUUUCAGAAAUACCAACAGGUAAACCUUCAGGCCUGACAAGCCCUACUGUUUCUACAAGAAGGGAUGGAUGAAGUUAAGCUAGCAAUCUCUCUUCAAAAUAUAUUACAAAUUAAAAAAAAAAAAAAGAAAGUCAGUGGGGGACAAAGCAGAAUCAGAACCAAACACAAAUGUCAUCUUUAUAGUGAUUUAAUUUGAUUCAAGCACAGACUACUUCCACUUCCCAGUACAACCUGCCCAUAUUGUUCUCAGGAAUUCUAACUCUCGGAUUACCAGUGACCGUAAUGCUAAAAAACUGAAUAAACCUUUUUUUUUCAAGGCAAAAACCAACUCUAAAAUUUGAAAAUCUGCUAUUAGUGCCGAAUAUCAUGAUACAAAAGAGAAAAAUAAAGCUAAAAUUAGUUAUAUCUCAUCUACCCAAAAUCAGGCUUCCCCUCACGUCUUUCUGCUCAGCGCCUACAAGUAGUUCUCACACCAACUAUGUUAAUACCAACACUACAUACCCUUAAGGAAGGUGGUGUAGCAAAUUUCACACAAAAUAAUUUUAAAAUCGACAAAGCUGAUAACGGAGAUAAAACAAGAAUUAUACACCCUUUAGCUCAGUGCAACAAUACCCCAGACUCCUCUUUAUAAGGCAAUACAGUAUAAUGAAAUUUUAAAAGGCAAAAAUAAAAGUAAUCCUUAACUAAAAUGGACAAAAUGUACAAACUCCAAGUAGAACAGGCAUCAGGUAAGUCCUUUCCAACUUUGCCUUCCUCUCACCUUUCAUUCGCUCACUGAACAAUUACUGAGUGCCUACUGAAUGCCAGGUACGACACUAGGCAUGGUACAUAUAAAUAAGAAGCAAACAAUGCAGUCUAGUGACUUCCUGGGGUAAGAAAUCAAAGUGGCCAAUUCCAUGGCACUAUAUGAAGUCAGACUCGUCUCAACAGAGUUUUGUGUCUUAAAACAAGAAAGCCCAAAGCUUUGAAAUAAAUUAAUAGGUGAUGGAAUUUCAGGUAUCAAUUAAAUUACUAUUACUUGACUGCAGGCAGCCUUGUCCUUGGAAAAAGACCAUGUGAUGCCGCCUGUGAAGGCACAGGUAUAAAGAGGCCUCUUAAGACAGGCCUGUAGCGAUGGAGCUAAAGGGCUUUAGCCGGGGUGCCGCUGAGUGUAGGCAGAGGGCGGGUCCUGGCAAGCCAAAUUCACCGCCACUGCCAGGACGAACUAUUCAGAUUCACGUGGAGCAAGGGGCUAACGCAGGCAGUUCCUAGAUCCAACACUCUGGGGAGAAGACCACUAAACCCGGCCCCUCAAAGCAGAGGUAACCUUGCCUGUCACUGAGAGCGCACACAAGACCCCACUGUACAAGUUGGGUUCGCUGCCUGCCUCCUCCCAGGCCCAAACAAUCUCGCUCUGAGUGUCGCUGGCCGCGCGGAGCAGGGGCCGGCUUUCUUCCGGGACCUAGGGGAGCUCCUCCUGCGCCGCUCACUCCGCGCUCGCCAAACGGGUCCAAGCGACUGCCCUGGAACUUGACAUUGAAGGCGGCGCCCACCGGAGACGAGCUGGUGCUCACCCUUCGGGCCGGAUCCCGGCUU
rnacentral:lncRNA from 10 species